CCUGAUGACCAUAGCGAGGUGGAACCACUCCUUCCCAUCCCGAACAGGACAGUGAAACGCCUCAGCGCCGAUGAUAGUGGGAUGUAUUUCCUGUGAAAGUAGGACAUCGUCAGGC
rfam:Burkholderiales bacterium GJ-E10 DNA, complete genome.